rnacentral:rRNA from 1 species
GGGGAAUAUUGGACAAUGGGCGCAAGCCUGAUCCAGCCAUGCCGCGUGAGUGAUGAAGGCCUUAGGGUUGUAAAGCUCUUUCGCCAGGGACGAUAAUGACGGUACCUGGAUAAGAAGCCCCGGCUAACUUCGUGCCAGCAGCCGCGGUAAUACGAAGGGGGCUAGCGUUGUUCGGAAUCACUGGGCGUAAAGCGUAUGCAGGCGGAUCGUUAAGUGAGGGGUGAAAUCCCGAGGCUCAACCUCGGAACUGCCUUUCAUACUGGCGAUCUUGGAGUCCGGGAGAGGUGAGUGGAACUGCGAGUGUAGAGGUGAAAUUCGUAGAUAUUCGCAAGAACACCAGUGGCGAAGGCGGCUCACUGGCCCGGUACUGACGCUGAGAUACGAAAGCGUGGGGAGCAAAC